rnacentral:lncRNA from 1 species
AUGGCUACCGAGCGCCAAACCGCAGAGCCGGUGGUGCCUUUGUUCGUGGAUCAAUACUUCACUCGCUGGUACAAAGCAGAUGUCAAAGGAAGAUCUUGUAAGGACCACUGUAUACCACAGCACUCUAACCGAAUAUGUGUCAUCACAUUGGCAGAAUCUCAUCCAGUUCUUCAGAGUGGAAAAACAAUUAAAAGCAUUCCCUGUCAGAUCAGUCCCAACUGUAGCAGACUUCAGAACAAGGUCUCUGGGAAAUUUAAGUGGGGGGCACAGUUUCUAACAGAACUUGCACCUCUCUGUAAGAUUUACUGCUCAGAUGGCGAAGAAUAUACUGUAUCUAGUUGUGUUAGAGGAUGUUCGAUGGAAGUGAAUGAAAAACAUUCUCCAUAAGCCAUCUAUUCUUCAAGAAAAGCCAUCACUGAAGGCUACAUUGCAGUUGAGUUACCCAAAUUUGAAGAAAGUAAAAACAUAACAGAAGGGUUACUGACACAAAAACGGUAUGAAGAAGUCAUGGUGAAAUGCAUUAAUGCCACAACAGUGACGU